UUCAAAAUAUAAUUUUUGCUUUAUAAAUAUUGUUUAUUUUCAUUUUUUAGUCUAACAACACUAAUUUUGCCCCGAAAUCAUGGGCUCAUGUGGUGGUUUAGAAUUCGUUGAAGAAGCUCGUCGAGCUGUAGUUGAUGGUGUUAUGCACAUCCCUAAGUCUGUAGUAGAUCUGGGUAUUGCUCGAUUGAAGUCUGCACUUGUUGCACAGUUUGUGGGUUCAGCGAAUCCGUUGCGAGUUUUCAGUUCGAUGGCUAAUCGACUUUGGGGCUAUGGGCUUAUUUUUGCUGGAAUUCCCAUAUGUUGCUCUCAGUAGCUGGGUUUAAGAACGUUCUUGGCAUAUCCAUCAUGCUGCUGUUUUCCUUCGCAGAUGGUCGCUUGGGAUCCAACCGCUGGAUCUCUCACCACAGGCAAAGCCUACCUGGGUCACUUUCCGGGAUGUCCCUCCCCCGUUGCACACUCAAAAAGGCAUUAGCUGGCUUGCGAUGCAACUUGGGAAGCCUUCUGAGCGAUUUGUGCGUGAGGGUCUCGCUUUUAAGGUCCGUGUCUUCAUUGAUAUGAAUCGUGCUCCUUGCGAUCAGCUUUCGGUUCAACUUGAUACUGGUGAAACCUAUUGUAUUCCUAUUGUCUAUCCAUCUGUUCGUACCUAUAAAGUAAGAAAUGUUGACGGCAAAGUUCCGGUUAAGCAGUGGCGUGUUAAAGCCCAGCCUCAAGCCCGAGUUAUGGAGAAGACUGGUAAUUAUUCAGAGCCUUUGCAGAAAGGGGAUGAAUCACUGUCAAUUAUCAAUUUGGAACCGGCUGAAGAGACUGUUGAGGUGGCUGUGCUUCUCAGCAAGCUCAGACGCUCCCUUCUGUUUCUCCAUUGGAGGUGCAAGUCCCUUCUGUUCCUUCUCUGGAAGUGGGUGAUAAUUCUGUUUCUUUGGAUCCGGUUAGCAGUGCGGAAGAAGAAAUUGAGGAAGUUUACUCAGAAGUUCCUCAGAAUUUGGAGGAUAAUGGGACAAAUCAAGAUCCUCUCACUCCUUCAAGUGAGGGAGGGCUUUCGACUUCGAAGCCGACUUUUAGAGAUUUCCUGCGACAUAGUAAGUCCGUACCCAAGAAGCGUAAUCGUAAUAAUGUUCUAUACUUUCAUCUAUGCUUCUACGUGCGCAAAUGAACGGCGUAAUCUUUUUGCAAAACUUGCUGGUCUCUGUCCAAAUGGCCUUUGGCUCAUCGCUGGCGACUUUAAUGCAAUUCUCCAAUUGGAUGAAGCUUCAAACCAACCCUCUUCUUUUACUGGUAUGGUGGAUUUUCAGGAUUGUGUUUCUGUUUGUAAGGUGUCUAAGCCUAGAGUAGGUUGUUGUUGAGCCCUAUCGAGAGGCCAUGGAAUGAUGAGUUGUUUGAUGCUUAUAAUCAGUUACCAAUGGUGAGUUGGAUUUCGAGUGAUUGAGAUAGAUUUAUAAAUUUCCAAAGACAAAUUUCAAAUAUCCAUUUCAAAUUCUAAGACUUUUGUAAGAAAAAGUAUGCCAACUUUUAGCAAUUCAGUACAGAAAUAGGCUAGGAGUCGGUCAUUUGCUUUGGAGCAACUUCAUCACUCUCUGUCUUCCGAAAAAGCAGAAGUACUUAAGCACUUCCCAAACUUCUGCCGCAAGAUCCGGCCGCCUCCGCCGAUGCUUCUCACAGCACCUAACCGCCAACUUAGCCAGCUCUUCCGCUCGUGGCAGCGGCCACUCUCCGGCCGAUUCAUCCAAAAUCUCUUUCAAUUUCCCGUCACUGAGUGCGCACUGCACCUCCGCGACUAACCCUAUCGCUGAUCUUCCUGUCAACAGCCGCAUCAAAACUACCCCAAACGAGUACACAUCAGACUUGGACGUCAGAAUCCCGCUGUAGAAGAACUCUGGAUCUAUGUACGGCGGAGUCCCCUUCGGAUCAGUCCUCCAUAUCAGCGUCUGAUUGGCAGAGGAGCCUUCCUUGUACUUGAGCAAGCGAGCGAUCCCAAAGUCGCUGAGCUUGCUGACGAAAUUGGCAUCCAGGAGGAUGUUGGAAGGCUUCACAUCGCCGUGGACGAUGCUAUCCGGUUUGCAGGACUGGAGGAAGAUGAGUACGGAGCAGACCUCGGCGGCGAUUCGGAGUCGAAUUCGCCAUGACAGCGGCUUGGAAUUGUCCUUGCACUCGAGUCGGUCUUCGAGACUUCCAUUCGGGAGGUAUUCGUAAAUUAGGGCACACGAUUCAGGACAGGCUCCGAUGAGACUCACCAGGUUUGGGUGCCUCACCUUGCUCAGAAUUUCUACCUGCGCAUAUAUAUAUUUUUUGUCUAACAUUCUUAGCUAACCAUUAUUUGAAUUGACUAAUUUGAUAGCCACUAUCUUGUUGUCUCGUACCUCUUUAUUAAACUCGGAUGCCCCUUGCAAGCCAUUUGGGGUGAGUAAUUUGAUAGCAACUUGUGUAUAUUGGAGCUCAGCUCUGUAAAUGUUGCCGAAUCCGCCUUCUCCGAUCUUGACUGAUUCAUGGUAGUUGUUAGUCGCUUGUUCAAUAUCUGAUUUAGUGAACAACAAGGUUGCAGCUUCUGUCGAUGUUGAACUUGAUGCUUGCUCCGAUAUGCUCUUCUUCAGCUCCUCUGCUUCCUUCACCUCGUUAUCACGCUCUAUCUGUGUUUCAUCACGUUCUUUCUUGCACUUCUUCAGCACUUCUACGACAGAGAUGAUUUCCUGCUCCAAAUCCUUCACCUUAUGGGCUGUCUCUGCAAUUUGGUCCUGUAGCAGAAGCUUCUCUUCCAAGGCCUUGCCGAGUUCCCCUUUCCCUUUAUCUAAGGCCUCCUCUCUUUCUUUUCUCAGCUUCUGCUCUUCGGAAACAAGGUUCUCUAAUCCUUUUGCCUUCACAAAAUUGAAAGGUUAUUUUAGGUUUAGGAAUUCCAGAGCGCGAUGGGGUAGUAGGUUGACAAGAAGGAAGCAGUGGAGAAUGUUACCCUUUCUAUGGCCUCGGCAGCAACCUGUUCGGCUUUGGCUCGACGGAAUGCUUCGUCCAGCGCAUCUCUCUUCAAGCUUAUGAACUCUUCGAAGGCUUCUUUAUCAGCUGUGGCUUGUCUCAAUGCCUCAUCCAGUGAUUCCCUCUUUGGAAUUGGCUGAUUCCCCUUAGCUCGUUUUGGAUGGUCAGCAAGUGGUUCGUCAUGUGAGUUCAGCAGCUCCAUACUCAUCUGGCUUCCUUGCAACCUGAAAACGCCAUUAUUACUCACACUGCUUGAACUGGUAGUGAUCCUACCAGAAGAACACUGUGACAGGAUGUUGCUGUGUGGGCUUGAUUCAUGAUCAUUAAACUCGUUCGACACUUCUUCAGGAGUUGAUGGCACACGGAAGUAAUCAUCUAUGCUCGCUGUGGUGGACGCAGAUACACUUCUUCCUCGGUAGAAGUAACCAUGUACGAGGUCUAGGAAGUUGCUGCUCUGUCUAUGAACGGCUGACUGGGAUUUAGAAAGAGUAGUCGGUUUCUGCUCAUGUAAAUGGCUCAAGCUCAGUGGUUGACCGUAUGAUUCUAUGUAGUUGCUCAUGUCUGCGAUCCCUUCCCUGUUCCCACAUCAAUCAUGUUGUUCUGUUCAUUGAGUCAUUUUCAGAAACAACUAUAUGGAUUGUUGUCUAUUCAUUAAUUCGUUAAUUUGUUUGUACCUUACAUGGAUAAGACGACCUGUGCAGACGAAAUAGAUUCGACAAGCUACAGAAGCCUGGCAGUGGACUGAUAACGCCUUUCUGGACUUGAUCUGCAUCAUAUUCCUGCAUUUUGAACGGUGAGAAAUUAUACAGCAACUAAAUAUGAUGAGUGGUGCAUGCUUAUAAGUGGUUCUGCUCUUAUUUAUUCUACCUGGAAUAGCUUUUGUCAGAUGCCGCCCCCAUAACAAGUUGUCUAAUACCACAGUUAGAAAUGGUGUCCAGAAUUCCCUUCACAACUGAAUCGUUCUCAAUGAGCAACUUAUGAGCUUUGAACUGUGAGUCAACAAGCAAGGACAAAUCAAUUUUCGGUUUUGUCUGAAUAGCUAGCUAUAUGUAGGUGUUUAGAGGUGAGAUGAUUCAAUAGUGCAAGUGAGAUAAAAGAGUUUUGACAGUAUUGAUAUAUAGCACUGCAGGCUUACCCCCAUGCUGUUACAAAUGCAGAUGUAGUGAUCGAGUAUCUUAUGAGCUCCACCCCGUUCGAUCUCCUCGUCCUGAAUCCCAGAGCAUCCUCCAUUAGAAAGAGAUGGCGGUUGGUGAACGAGAAUGAGGCAGAUGUCGUCGGCGGCAGAAUGGUUGUGUAGUGCCCACAUCAACACAGACUUGCUGUCUUGAACAACCUUUCCAACUGCUACGUACACCUUUUGUCCAACUAGUGAUUUGCUCGACAU
rnacentral:lncRNA from 1 species